UACUGAAUUCCCCAGUGACUUUCCAUUGCAUUAACCUGAAAGCCAGACGUAGUGACAUCAUCACCUGGAACUACCUGUUGAUGCAGAAAACGUGCUUCUGUUCUGUUCACAUUUUGAUAUAUAACCAAUGUAUUUCUUUGUGGUAACUCUACCUUGCUACAGAGAAGGCUGCUCAUGGUGAAAUCCUUCCCUGCUGGUAAGGAAAAAGACGUCCCCCAAAUAACAGUGAUGGCAAAGCUAUCAUGCUGUAAAACACCUUUUUCCCAGAGAAGCAAGACAGCUGCAAAACGUACAAUUAUGCAAGAUCUAAUGCAUAAGAUCCUAUACAUGGAAUUGCACAAAAAUCACACAGAACUAAAGGAAGACAAACCACUGGAAGGGGG